rnacentral:rRNA from 1 species
GUGAGGAAUUUUCCGCAAUGGGCGAAAGCCUGACGGAGCAAUGCCGCGUGAAGGAUGAAGGCCUAUGGGUUGUAAACUUCUUUUCUUAGAGAAGAAUAUUGACGGUAUCUGAGGAAUAAGCAUCGGCUAACUCUGUGCCAGCAGCCGCGGUAAGACAGAGGAUGCAAGCGUUAUCCGGAAUGAUUGGGCGUAAAGCGUGCGUAGGCGGUUUUGUAAGUUAGGAGUGAAAGCCCAGGGCUCAACCUUGGAAUUGCUCUUAAAACUGCAAGGCUCGAAUCUCGGAGAGGAUAGCGGAAUUUCCAGUGUAGCAGUGAAAUGCGUAGAUAUUGGAAGGAACACCAGUGGCGUAAGCGGCUAUCUGGACGAGUAUUGACGCUGAGGCACGAAAGCGUGGGGAUCAAACAGGAUUAGAUACCCGUGUAGUCC